UGAUCAUGUUACAAUUUUAAAACGACAUAUUGAUUAUAUAACAUUAAGUUUAUGUUCAUGACUGUAUGAAAAGAUCAUUUCAAAUUUAAAACGAAGGUCUUUUGUUAUACUAGACCUGCUUUUGUUUGAAUUGACUGGCUCUGUUCCAUAACGUGAUUUUAUACAUAGCAUUGGCAUAACUUCAUUGAAAAACGGUGUUGAACUGCAAAUUGGAUAUUAGAAACGGAAAUGUCUGACGAAGAGGUUAUUAAAGUAGCUUCGACAGUAGGGACAGCUCCGCUGUGGGUGCCGGUAGCUGCCGCAGGUGGCCUUGUUUAUGGUGCAGGAAAAGGCCUCGAUGCUGCAAACGACUUCGGGAAGAAGAAUGGCCCUUUAGCUGGUAUAGCAGCCUCGCCAUUUAUUGUUGGUGCCAAUAUUAUAGCUGGUCCAUUCAGAGGAAUCAAGAAAGUGGGCGAUGUGAUGGUAGGGAAAAAGAAGAAAAAGUAAACUUUGUAUUAUCAAGCACUGUGUGAGGGAUGGCUUGUAUGAAAUACCAGUCAAUCAAUUACUAUUUAACUUUUUUAUAUCUCUACCGGAUUCUUUUCAAUUAAUUUUGACAUUUAUUAAUCUUUCAUUCAUCACAGUUUAAUCAGUGCAUAUAUACAAUAAUGUCUCGUCUGCUAGCGUUUCAUUUUUUAGAUUUUUUUUUAUGAUUAUACACAGAUUUAAUUGCAUAGUACAAUUUGCAUUUUAUAUCAUAAAUUUCGACGUUAUGAAUAACAUUAUGAUCACCAGACAAAACCAAAUACAUAAACAUUUGAACUGAAGACCAAUGGAAUGUUUUUGAAGUGUUGUUCCUAUCCCAUUGAAGAUAUCAUGUAACCAUUUUAGUUAAUCUUUGAUAUUGUUAAAUAUGUAUAUGACGGUCUAGAUCUUAUAAACAUAAUUAUGUUGAAAAUAUUAUAUCUUGUUCUUGUUUGUAACUUUAUUUAAUUAUAUCUCCCAAAAUUUUUGGGAGACAUAUUGUUUUUUUUGCAUUCGCCGUCUGUCUGUCCGUCCGUCUGUCUGUCCGUCCGUCAGGUUGUCCGUCCUUAGUCCUGAGUACCAUCCUUAGUUGUGCACAUCACCGGUACGUUCCGCUUCACUGCACAAAAUGGCCACCAGAGAGAGAUAAAAAUAGAAAAUUAUUGUCCGGCCUACACAGGUCAAGCUACUGGUGGGAUUUCAACCAAACUUUACAGGAGUGAUCAGUACCAUCCUUAGUUGUGCAUAUUUACGGCACGAUCCGGUUUGCUGCACAAAAUGGCCGCCAGGGCUAAAAUAGAAAAUUCUUGUGCGGCCUUCUCAGGUCAAACUACUAGUGGGAUUUCUACUGAACGUUACAAGAGUGAUCAGUAACAUCCCUAGUUGUGCACAACACCGGCACGUUCCGCUUUGCUGCACAAAAUGGCCAUCAGAGCUAUAAAAAGAAAAACUCUUUUCCGGCUUUCACAGGUCAAGCUUAUGGUAGGAGUUCAAUGAAACUUCACAUGAGGGACUGGGAGACAUAUGCUUUUGUGAUAUUAACCCUUCUAGUUUACAUUUCAUGAUGCACACUCAAUUUCUAAGUCUGAAAUAAUAAAUUAUAUAAUCAGAAACUUUUCCGAGUCGUAUCUUCAGAAAUCACAAAAAGGUUUAAUGUAUAAUUUAUUCGUACCAUUUACAUUUCCUUAACCAAGUGCCACGACAAAUUUCUCAUAUUGACUUUUCCAUUGUUCAAACAAGACAAUUUAAAGACAAUUUCAAAUUAUGUAGCGGUUGCCUGAAUAACGAAUAGCGGAAGUGCAGACCAUGACAAGACUGCGCGGCUGUACCGGCUGACAUUGGUCUGCAAUGGUUGCAUGGGUACAUUCAUUUGGCACCAGUAGGCUAAGGGUUACACACUCACAAAUAUAUAUAUAUAUUUUUUACUGCAAUAUUCAUGACAUUUCAUUAGUUACUGCUUUUCUGUCAAGUUGAUAAAGUGUAUGUAAGUCAUGUAACUGAAAUAAAAAUUUAUAUAAGAUUUAA